UGGGGAAUAUUGCACAAUGGGCGCAAGCCUGAUGCAGCCAUGCCGCGUGUAUGAAGAAGGCCUUCGGGUUGUAAAGUACUUUCAGCGGGGAGGACGGGAGUAAAGUUAAUACCUUUGCUCAUUGACGUUACCCGCAGAAGAAGCACCGGCUAACUCCGUGCCAGCAGCCGCGGUAAUACGGAGGGUGCAAGCGUUAAUCGGAAUUACUGGGCGUAAAGCGCACGCAGGCGGUUUGUUAAGUCAGAUGUGAAAUCCCCGGGCUCAACCUGGGAACUGCAUCUGAUAAUGGCAAGAUUGAGUCUCGUAGAGGGGGGUAGAAUUCCAGGUGUAGCGGUGAAAUGCGUAGAGAUCUGGAGGAAGACCGGUGGCGAAGGCGGCCCCCUGGACGAAGACUGACGCUCAGGUGCGAAAGCGUGGGGAGCAAACAGG
rnacentral:rRNA from 1 species